rnacentral:rRNA from 1 species
ACGACCGUACCGCAAACCGACACUGGUGCGCGAGAUGAGUAUUCUAAGGCGCUUGAGAGAACUCAGGAGAAGGAACUCGGCAAAUUGACACCGUAACUUCGGAAGAAGGUGUGCCUUUAGUAGGUGAACCUGUACAAGGGGAGCCCAAUGAGGUUGCAAAAAAUCGGUGGCUGCGACUGUUUAAUAAAAACACAGCACUCUGCAAACACGAAAGUGGACGUAUAGGGUGUGACGCCUGCCCGGUGCUGGAAGAUUAAAUGAUGGGGUGCAAGCUCUUGAUUGAAGUCCCAGUAAACGGCGGCCGUAACGAUAACGGUCUUAAGGUAGCGAAAUUCCUUGUCGGGUAAGUUCCGACCUGCACGAAUGGCGUAACGAUGGCCACACUGUCUCCUCCUGAGACUCAGCGAAGUUGAAAUGUUUGUGAUGAUGCAAUCUCCCCGCGGAAAGACGGAAAGACCCCAUGAACCUUUACUGUAGCUUUGUAUUGGACUUUGAACAGAUCUGUGUAGGAUAGGUGGGAGGCUUUGAAGUGUGGUCGCUAGAUCGCAUGGAGCCAACGUUGAAAUACCACCCUGGUGUGUUUGAGGUUCUAACCUAGGCCCGUAAUCCGGGUCGGGGACAGUGCAUGGUAGGCAGUUUGACUGUGGCGGUCUCCUCCCAAAGCGUAACGGAGGAGUUCGAAGGUACGCUAGGUACGGUCGGACAUCGUGCUAAUAGUGCAAUGGCAUAAGCGUGCUUAACUGCGAGACUGACAAGUCGAGCAGAUGCGAAAGCAGGACAUAGUGAUCCGGUGGUUCUGUAUGGAAGGGCCAUCGCUCAACGGAUAAAAGGCACUCUGGGGAUAACAGGCUGAUACCGCCCAAGAGUUCAUAUCGACGGCGGUGUUUGGCACCUCGAUGUCGGCUCAUCUCAUCCUGGGGCUGUAGCCGGUCCCAAGGGUAUGGCUGUUCGCCAUUUAAAGAGGUACGUGAGCUGGGUUUAAAACGUCGUGAGACAGUUUGGUCCCUAUCUUUCGUGGGCGCUGCAGAUUUGAGGAAGCCUGCUCCUAGUACGAGAGGACCGGAGUGGACACACCUCUGGUGUAUCGGUUGUCACGCCAGUGGCAUUGCCGAGUAGCUAUGUGUGGAAGAGAUAACCGCUGAAAGCAUCUAAGCGGGAAACUCGUUUCAAGAUGAGAUCUGCCGGGGCCUUGAGCCCCCUAAAGAGCCGUUCAAGACCAGGACGUUGAUAGGUCGGGUGUGGAAGCGCAGUAAUGCGUUAAGCUAACCGAUACUAAUUGCUCGUGCGGCCUGAAC